CAGCCGCCGCGGUAAUACGUAGGGUGCAAGCGUUAAUCGGAAUUACCGGGCGUAAAGCGUGCGCAGGCGGUUCGGAAAGAAAGAUGUGAAAUCCCAGAGCUUAACUUUGGAACUGCAUUUUUAACUACCGGGCUAGAGUGUGUCAGAGGGAGGUGGAAUUCCGCGUGUAGCAGUGAAAUGCGUAGAUAUGCGGAGGAACACCGAUGGCGAAGGCAGCCUCCUGGGAUAACACUGACGCUCAUGCACGAAAGCGUGGGGAGCAAACAGGAUUAGAUACCCUGGUAGUCCACGCCCUAAACGAUGUCAACUAGCUGUUGGGGCCUUCGGGCCUUGGUAGCGCAGCUAACGCGUGAAGUUGACCGCCUGGGGAGUACGGUCGCAAGAUUAAAACUUAAAGGAAUUGGCGGG
rnacentral:rRNA from 1 species